rnacentral:rRNA from 1 species
AUUGAACGCUGGCGGCAUGCCAUACACAUGCAAGUCGAACGGCAGCGGACCUUCGGGUGCCGGCGAGUGGCGAACGGGUGAGUAAUAUAUCGGAACGUACCUUUCAGUGGGGGAUAACGUAGCGAAAGUUACGCUAAUACCGCAUAUUCUGUGAGCAGGAAAGCAGGGGAUCGCAAGACCUUGCGCUGAUUGAGCGGCCGAUAUCAGAUUAGCUAGUUGGUGAGGUAAAGGCUCACCAAGGCGACGAUCUGUGGCGGGUCUGAGAGGAUGAUCCGCCACACUGGAACUGAGACACGGUCCAGACUCCUACGGGAGGCAGCAGUGGGGAAUUUUGGACAAUGGGCGCAAGCCUGAUCCAGCCAUGCCGCGUGAGUGAAGAAGGCC